AGCUUUGCGCAGUGGCAGUAUCAUAGCCAAUGAGGUCAAACCGAGGCGUGAUUAUUGCUAAUUGAAAACUUUUCCCAAUACCCCGCCAUGAUGACUUGAAAUAUAGUCAGCACUGGCAAUUUUUGACAGUCUCUCAGGAGA
ensembl:snRNA U4 U4 spliceosomal RNA